rnacentral:rRNA from 1 species
CCCUUAGAUGUCCUGGGCCGCACGCGCGCUACAAUGACCGGCGCAGCAAGUUUUCCUGACCUGGAAAGGUUCGGGUAAUCUUUACAAUACCGGUCGUGUUAGGGAUCGAUCUUUGGAAUUAUAGAUCUUGAACGAGGAAUUCCUAGUAAGCGCGAGUCAUCAGCUCGCGUUGAUUACGUCCCUGCCCUUUGUACACACCGCCCGUCGCUACUACCGAUUGAAUGGUUUAGUGAGGACUCCUGAUUGGCGCCGCCGCCCCGGCAACGGAGCAGUGGACUGCCGAAAAGUUGUUCAAACUUGAUCAUUUAGAGGAAGUAAAAGUCGUAACA